rnacentral:lncRNA from 1 species
CUGCUCUCGGCGCGAAAGCCCUCUCCGAGGCUGAUCCUCGCUGCCCUGCUCCCCCUGCCCGAGCGCUGCCUGGCGGUCCGGGUGGGAGUUGGCGGCGCCAGAGGAGGAGGCUGGCGGGGGACGCAGCGGCCUGAAGGGCGAGCCGCUCCCUUACCUCUGUCCAGAGUGAGCGGCUGGACCACUGUCAAUGUCGCCAUGUCUGCCGUGGGAGCCGAAGUGACGCUCGGCUUCAGCAUCAGCAACCGCUUGUAGUGAGAAAAAGAGGAGGAGACUGGGGGCGGGGGUGGUGAGGGAAGACGGAAAGGAGGGGGAGGAGGGAAGGUGGUGGUGGUGGUGGAGGAGAAGAGAGCCUGGGUGGGUUGGCAGCCAGAUGGAGACGCAACUGUUCCGCGGCGGGCAGACCUUCAGAUGCGGCGUGAAGCUGAGCAGGGAAGAGGCAAUGAACAUUUGCUCUCCAUUUGGAAACGCUUCUAUCCAAAAGAAGAAAAGAGACACUCAUUACUGCUGCUCACACAUAACGGACCUAAGGUGGAAGAAAUGAAUGGAGGAUUACAGCCGCCAAAUGAAGGUGGGGACCACAGAAUUCUUUACCUGGCACUCCACCAGAUAAAAAGCCAGAAGAGCAGCCAAGGGAGAAGGGGACAAAGAACAGGUACCAGAGAAAGGAAGUAACUAAUAUCAACUAUUGAUUCACAUCCAGAUGCAGAAAUCACCAUAGUGCCCAGGUAUGGUAUACUUUCUUGCUUAAUUUGCUAUGAAUAUAUUUAUGUAUAUUAACCUAUGUCAUUUUUUCACUUCCUCCUAUUUCAAUUAUUUUGGUGGGCG